GAUGAACGCUGGCGGCGUGCCUAAUACAUGCAAGUCGAGCGAACGGACGAGAAGCUUGCUUUUCUGAUGUUAGCGGCGGACGGGUGAGUAACACGUGGAUAACCUACCUAUAAGACUGGGAUAACUUCGGGAAACCGGAGCUAAUACCGGAUAAUAUUUUGAACCGCAUGGUUCAAAAGUUAAAGACGGUCUUGCUGUCACUUAUAGAUGGAUCCGCGCUGCAUUAGCUAGUUGGUAAGGUAACGGCUUACCAAGGCAACGAUGCAUAGCCGACCUGAGAGGGGGAUCGGCCAAACUGGAACUGAGACACGGUCCAGACUCCUAAGGGAGGCAGCAGUAGGGAAUAUUCCGCAAUGGGCGAAAGCCUGACGGAGCAACGCCGCGUGAGUGAUGAAGGUCUUCGGAUCGUAAAACUCUGUUAUUAGGGAAGAACAUAUGUGUAAGUAAAUGUGCACAUCUUGACGGUAACUAAUCAGAAAGCAACGGCUAACUACGUG
rnacentral:rRNA from 1 species